rnacentral:rRNA from 1 species
UGAGGAAUAUUGGUCAAUGGGCGCAAGCCUGAACCAGCCAUCCCGCGUGAAGGAAGAAGGCGCUAUGCGUUGUAAACUUCUUUUCCUGGGGAAUAAAAUUUCGUACGUGUACGGAACUGAAGGUACCCAGGGAAUAAGCAUCGGCUAACUCCGUGCCAGCAGCCGCGGUAAUACGGAGGAUGCAAGCGUUAUCCGGAUUUAUUGGGUUUAAAGGGUUGCGCAGGCGGAUUGGUAAGUCAGUGGUGAAAUCCUGCAGCUUAACUGUAGAAUUGCCGUUGAUACUGUCAGUCUUGAGUAUGGUCAAGGUAGGCGGAAUGUGUAAUGUAGCGGUGAAAUGCUUAGAUAUUACACAGAACACCGAUUGCGAAGGCAGCUUGCUGGGCCAUUACUGCGNUCCCAU